ensembl:lncRNA
CUUGGUUUCUCCUGAGGGGCGUGUCUAUAGAACUGAAGACUUCAGACAGCACUGUAUCCCAGCAUGCAUCUCUGCUCACUCAGACCACACCCCAAUGAGUAGGAUGCAACGCUCUAGUGAUGGAGAUGUAGAGUUUUAUAAGUAACGAGGGAGCAGACGAAGGUGUCUGCCUCCUCACCCAGAGCCAGACCUCCACCUCCUCACCCAGGGCCAGACCUCCACCUCCUCAGCCAGAGCCAGACCUCCACCUCCUCACCCAGAGCCUGACCUCCACCUCCUGUCAGAAGUCCUCCAGAACAGCUGAAAGGCGAGGCUGAGAGGCUGGAGAUCGGAGGCUUGUGGUGCCAGGAUGGACCGGAGACUGAGGCUGGAGACCAGGGGCCUGCAGCACCGGACCAGAGGACCAAGAAUCCAUGGCUGAAGGAGCUGAUGGAGGAGCCGUGCUGAAGG